GUGAAUCAUCGAAUUUUUGAACGCAAAUUGCACUUUCUGGUAUUCCGGAAAGGAUGCCUGUUUGAGGGUCGGUGAAAUAAAAAUCGGUGUUGUUGCUGCCCUGCGUGGUGACACGUCGGAAUUGGGUCGUCUUACUUUCGGUUAAGUGACGGAAAAUGUUUGCAUGAGUUUCGGACGUAUUUAACGCGCUUACGUACGGGUGAGAUAUCGAAUGCUUAUUAGGUUCGGUCAUUCCCAUGAGUCGCGCCUAUAAUGUUUCAUUAAAUGACCUCAAAUCAGGUAAGAAUACACGCU
rnacentral:misc_RNA from 1 species